rnacentral:rRNA from 1 species
CUCUAGAGAUAGAGUUUUCCCCUUCGGGGGACAGAGUGACAGGUGGUGCAUGGUUGUCGUCAGCUCGUGUCGUGAGAUGUUGGGUUAAGUCCCGCAACGAGCGCAACCCUUAAGCUUAGUUGCCAUCAUUAAGUUGGGCACUCUAAGUUGACUGCCGGUGACAAACCGGAGGAAGGUGGGGAUGACGUCAAAUCAUCAUGCCCCUUAUGAUUUGGGCUACACACGUGCUACAAUGGACAAUACAAAGGGCAGCGAAACCGCGAGGUCAAGCAAAUCCCAUAAAGUUGUUCUCAGUUCGGAUUGUAGUCUGCAACUCGACUAUAUGAAGCUGGAAUCGCUAGUAAUCGUAGAUCAGCAUGCUACGGUGAAUACGUUCCCGGGUCUUGUACACACCGCCCGUCACACCACGAGAGUUUGUAACACCCGAAGCCGGUGGAGUAACCAUUUGGAGCUAGCCGUCGAAGGUGGGACAAAUGAUUGGGGUGAAGUCGUAACAAGGUAGCCGUAUCGGAAGGUGCGGCUGGAUCACCUCCUUUCUAAGGA